UGGGGAAUAUUGCACAAUGGGGGAAACCCUGAUGCAGCGACGCCGCGUGAACGAUGAAGGUAUUCGUAUCGUAAAGUUCUGUCCUAUGGGAAGAUAAUGACAGUACCAUAGAAGAAAGCUCCGGCUAAAUACGUGCCAGCAGCCGCGGUAAUACGUAUGGAGCGAGCGUUGUUCGGAAUUAUUGGGCGUAAAGGGUACGCAGGCGGUUUAAUAAGUCGAAUGUUAAAGAUCGGGGCUCAACCCCGUAAAGCAUUGGAAACUGAUAAACUUGAGUAGUGGAGAGGAAAGUGGAAUUCCUAGUGUAGUGGUGAAAUACGUAGAUAUUAGGAGGAAUACCAGUAGCGAAGGCGACUUUCUGGACACAAACUGACGCUGAGGUACGAAAGCGUGGGGAGCAAACAGG
rnacentral:rRNA from 1 species